GUUCCUCAAGGCCCAUUUGGGACCUAAAUACAAACAAAGUUCUGACAGAGCGAUAGCUGUAGCAAUAACAUGCGUCGGCCAGUGCCUUUCCCUUGUCUCCCUAUCUAACCACUCAGGUUAAGACCCUGUGAUGGGGGGAGUCAUUGUACUCUUUCAAAAACCUAACCCUACCCUAACCCUAACCCUAACCCUAUCCUAACCCUAAUCCUAACCCUAACCCUAUCCCUAACCCUACCAUAACCAACUUUUUCAGACUGUGGCAUUAUAAUAGGUGGAAACUAACCAUAACCAACUAUACCAAACCUAAUUUAUUAACUUUUUUCAUAUUAGUUAGAAACCUAACCAUAACCAACUUUUUCAGACUGUGGCAUUAUAAUAGGUGGAAACUAACCAUAACCAACUAUACCGAACCUAAUUUAUUAACUUUUUUCAUAUUAGUUAGAAACCUAACCAUAACCAACUUUUUCAGACUGUGGCAUUAUAAUAGGUGGAAACUAACCAUAACCAACUAUACCGAACCUAAUUUAUUAACUUUUUUCAUAUUAGUUAGAAACCUAACCAUAACCAACUUUUUCAGACUGUGGCAUUAUAAUAGGUGGACAUCACAUGUCGACCAGAACCUCAACCUAACCAUAACCGAUUUUAUUUUUUAUUACAACUGUUUCCUUUUUUCUUUUUUUCUUUCUUUCUGCCUCUUCUUUUUCUUUUUCUUUUUUUCUUUUGGUACCAUCUUUAUCUGGGAUUCUUUAGGCCAGUGCACCACAAGGACAUGAUUCCUCAAAUUAAACAUCUAUUUCUAAACCUAACCUUGCCAGUGCCACUGAACUCCUUAUGAUCGGGGGAUAUCAUUUAAUUAUAUAUAA